GAUGAACGCUGGCGGCGUGCUUAACACAUGCAAGUCGAACGGAAAGGCCGAAGCUUGCUUCGGUACUCGAGUGGCGAACGGGUGAGUAACACGUGGGUGAUCUGCCCUGUACUUCGGGAUAAGCUUGGGAAACUGGGUCUAAUACCGGAUAUGACAAUCUCUUGGAUGGGGUUGUGGAAAGCUUUUGCGGUAUGGGAUGAGCUCGCGGCCUAUCAGCUUGUUGGUGGGGUAAUGGCCUACCAAGGCGUCGACGGGUAGCCGGCCUGAGAGGGUGUACGGCCACAUUGGGACUGAGAUACGGCCCAGACUCCUACGGGAGGCAGCAGUGGGGAAUAGUGCACAAUGGGCGCAAGCCUGAUGCAGCGACGCCGCGUGGGGGAUGACGGCCUUCGGGUUGUAAACUCCUUUCGCAACCGACGAAGCUUUUGUGACGGUAGGUUGAGAAGAAGCACCGGCUAACUACGUG
rnacentral:rRNA from 1 species